rnacentral:lncRNA from 1 species
GCUUAGGAUGGUCAUAAACUUUCCUACUGAGUUGUGAACUCACCCUAUCCCUUCCACCUUUAGAUACAAGUCAGAAGACCUAUACAGGAAAUAAUGCUUAAGCAUUGCUUUACUGUGAUUGGAUGUUGUUUGCUCACAUUGAUAGUGUUUUGAGGCUUUGCCUUUGUAUUAAAGACUGAAUCUUUUUUGUAGGAAUGAUGUAAUAUAUAUAUUUGUUAAGUACACUUGUAGUAUGGGCUACCCGUAGUGAAC